UACGGAGGGGACUAGCGUUGUUCGGAAUUACUGGGCGUAAAGCGCGCGUAGGCGGAUUAGUCAGUCAGCGGUGACAUCCCGGGGCUCAACCCCGGAACUGCCUUUGAUACUGCUAGUCGUGAGUUCGAGAGAGGUGAGGGGAAUUCCGAGUGUAGAGGUGAAAUUCGUAGAUAUUCGGAGGAACACCAGUGGCGAAGGCGUCUCACUGGCUCGAUACUGACGCUGAGGUGCGAAAGCGUGUGGAGCAAACAGG
rnacentral:misc_RNA from 1 species